rnacentral:rRNA from 1 species
UACGUAGGGUGCAAGCGUUGUCCGGAAUUAUUGGGCGUAAAGAGCUCGUAGGCGGUUUGUCGCGUCUGCUGUGAAAACCGGAGGCUCAACCUCCGGCCUGCAGUGGGUACGGGCAGACUAGAGUGCGGUAGGGGAGAUUGGAAUUCCUGGUGUAGCGGUGAAAUGCGCAGAUAUCAGGAGGAACACCGGUGGCGAAGGCGGGUCUCUGGGCCGUAACUGACGCUGAGGAGCGAAAGCGUGGGGAGCGAACAGG